rnacentral:rRNA from 1 species
AUCAACUUUCGAUGGUAGGAUAGAGGCCUACCAUGGUGGUAACGGGUAACGGGGUGUUAGGGCACGACACCGGAGAGGGAGCCUGAGAAACGGCUACCACAUCCAAGGAUGGCAGCAGGCGCGCAAAUUACCCAAUCCCAACACGGGGAGGUAGUGACAAUAAAUAACAAUACGGGGUUCUUAUGGAUCUUGUAAUUGGAAUGAGUACAAUUUAAAUCUCUUAACGAGGAACAAUUGGAGGGCAAGUCUGGUGCCAGCAGCCGCGGUAAUUCCAGCUCCAAUAGCGUAUAUUAAAGUUGUUGCAGUUAAAAAGCUCGUAGUUGAAUUUCGGGAUUAGUAGGUUGGUCGUGCCUCUGGUAUGUACUCGCCUUACUGGUUCCUCCUUCUUGAAGAACUGUAAUGCCAUUAAUUUGGUGUUGCAGGGAAACAGGACUGUUACUUUGAAAAAAUUAGAGUGUUUAAAGCAGGCCAACGCCUGAAUACAUUAGCAUGGAAUAAUGAAAUAGGACGUUGAUCCUAUUUUGUUGGUUUCUAGGAUUGACGUAAUGAUUAAUAGGGAUAGUUGGGGGCAUUAGUAUUCAAUUGUCAGAGGUGAAAUUCUUGGAUUUAUUGAAGACUAACUACUGCGAAAGCAUUUGCCAAGGAUGUUUUCAUUAAUCAAGAACGAAAGUUAGGGGAUCGAAGACGAUCAGAUACCGUCGUAGUCUUAACCAUAAACUAUGCCGACUAGGGAUCGGAUGAUGUUAAUUUUUUAAUGACUCAUUCGGCGCCUUACGGGAAACCAAAGUGUUUGGGUUC